GACGAACGCUGGCGGCGUGCCUAAUACAUGCAAGUAGAACGCUGAAGGAGGAGCUUGCUUCUCUGGAUGAGUUGCGAACGGGUGAGUAACGCGUAGGUAACCUGCCUGGUAGCGGGGGAUAACUAUUGGAAACGAUAGCUAAUACCGCAUAAUAGUAGAUGUUGCAUGACAUUUGCCUAAAAGGUGCAAUUGCAUCACUACCAGAUGGACCUGCGUUGUAUUAGCUAGUUGGUGGGGUAACGGCUCACCAAGGCGACGAUACAUAGCCGACCUGAGAGGGUGAUCGGCCACACUGGGACUGAGACACGGCCCAGACUCCUACGGGAGGCAGCAGUAGGGAAUCUUCGGCAAUGGACAGAAGUCUGACCGAGCAACGCCGCGUGAGUGAAGAAGGGUUUCGGAUCGUAAAGCUCUGUUGUAAGAGAAGAACGAGUGUGAGAGUGGAAAGUUCACACUGUGACGGUAGCUUACCAGAAAGGGACGGCUAACUACGUG
rnacentral:rRNA from 1 species